AGGCAGAGCACUGAACAACCUUAACAAUACCUACAUAGUACCCUCAUAUUUUCGUAUACCAUACACUCAGUACGUAUUUUAUACUUUGUACUUUGCGUUAGACGGAACGAUUCGCGAAAGAUGGCCUGUCAGGUUUAUUACUGGACGUCAGAAUCCAUAAAAAAUAAAUCAUUUGGACAUAUUUCAAUGCAAACGGGCAAUGGAACAUACAUAAGUUUCUGGCCGGAAAAUGUUCCAUCCAUUAAGCAUUAUAAAAAAGGGGUAGUGAGCAGCUGUUGGAUAUCCUCCCUUGAGGAAGAGAUAAAGAAAUAUAAAAGCCCUGAUUUUACCAUUACUGUUCCUGAUAUGGACAAUAACGCUAUAGACCGAUGGUUUGCUGAUUUUAGGAAACAGGAACCAAAAUGGAAUCUUCAUUCGCACAGCUGCAGCAGUGUGGUUUAUAAUGCGCUCUGUGCCGGCUCGAGCAAAUUCUGCAAAUCAGUGAAAAAGUACAUCCCAGUCACGACACCUGGAAGUUUGUUUCGAAUGAUUGAAGCCAUCACCAGCGGCAACUAAAGUCCCAUCGUGGCUGGAUAGUGAAAAAACGAAAUAAAAUAUCAGAGUUUUUUACUAACUGUUUCUCAAACGUAAUGCAGACAGUAGUAAAUACCGAUAUGUGUACAGGUAACAAUAAUAAAACAGAUGUAAAACAUAUUAAAUAAUGUGACAAUGACAAGUGCACCAUUUGCUAGACAUGUAAAGCAAAUAUUUCCUACCUUCCGUGUUUAUUUCUAGACCUAAUAUGUUUGUGUUUUUUAACUCUUAUUGCGGGCCGCUGCAGUGGCCCGCUAUAUUUAAUACGUGGUGAGUAAAAGGUUUAUGGAGACUUAAGAACUUGGUUGAAAAUAUGCGUCUCUUUUUCCUAAAAAAAAUCAAGUACUAUUGAGCUGAAAAUGUAGGUCACACAGUCAAUUUUUCCCUUGAAUACAUGAGUUGUCGUUCUUACCAUAAUGACAGUCUCGCCAUUAAAUAAACGGUGUUACUUUUGACAUUAAUAAUGUAGACACAGUCUAUUUUUUACAGAGUUGUCUUUCGUACGUUUGUUUUCGCAACGUUUCUGUGCACGUUCUAAAGUGCUGACGAGUUAGCUGACGAUACAGAAAUAGAGCAGAGCUGUUGACCAAUUGCUGACCAUAUAAACAAAGAAGGAAAAAAAUACGUUUUGAAAUUAUAGAUUUUUUAAGACUUAUUUUGUUUAAUCUAUUUUAUAGACUCCUUAAAGUGUACGUAAAGACGGAUGUUUGUGUAUUUUAUUGAAAAUGGCAGGUCAUUAAAAUGAAUUGAGUAUAAUUUUUUUGCUGGUUUGGUGAAAAGAUGAGAAGAUAUCACGGAUUAAAUUAUUUUUUAGGUGUUUCAUUUACAAUUGUUUGAACCAAUUAUUUUAAUUGUAAAUGUAGCUUUAAAUGUUAGCUUCACAACUUGUGGAAAACUAUCUGCACUACAUCAAAGAACGAUCGAAAGAUUUUUGUUUGCCAAUCCAUUAUUGAUUUUAGAAGUUGUUUUGUGGAAAACAAGGCAAAAUGUUGCUAUUAAAAGUGACUUUGCAUAGUGAAAACAGGUUUAUCAUACUCAAACAAAGUUGCAGUAUUAAAAACAAGUGACAUCAAUAUCUGAGUUGUUGUUAUUUUGCUUUCAAUGGUUUUUACAAAUGAACUAGUUCAUGUACAUGGAAAGGAAUUACUUUAAACCCAUUGAGAGCUGUGCUUGUGCAAGAACUGUAACUUUGGUUUGCCUUAGUUAUGUCUUUUCCAGAGUAAGCAAGAUACAUAUUGAUUUAGUGUUGUUUGUCUGUCAAAAAACUUUGUCCCCUGUAAAACUUAUAGUUGUACUGAAACCUUGAAGAAGUGUUUAAUAUAAACUGCAGUUGUGCAUAGACUAAUGUUUUACCAAAAUAGGUCUCUUUGAAUUCCUUCAUAGCCUUGACUCGACAUCAGCCAUCACCAGCUUCAAAAUAUUUACAUGGUAGAUCUGUUUGUGGGCCCGCUGUGAUACAUUGUAUCACAGUUUUUUUCUUCUUUUUUCAUUCUGUUUGACUCUAGGAAAUUCCUCAAAUAAUCAAGUACAAAACUAAACUUAACGAAGCCGCAUUGGCAACAUCAGAAAGAGAAACAGUGUAAGCUUAAUGAACAGACGGAUUGAUUAUAUUAAUUUAUAUUCCCAAAAUUAUCUUUUGUUAACUUUAUACCUCAUAUAUUUUGUUCGUUGUUUAUUUAUUAGUACACUACUGUUGUAUGCAGUUUAUAUUGGAGUAAAAUUGUUCAACUUA